rnacentral:rRNA from 1 species
AGUGAACGUUGGCGGCGUGGAUUAGGCAUGCAAGUCGAGCGAGAACCGUAGCAAUACGGGGACAGCGGCGAAAGGGACAGUAAUGUGUAGGUACCUACCCCGAGGUCUGGGAUAGCUGCGGGAAACUGCAGGUAAUACCGGAUAAUGUCUUCGGACCAAAGGUGUGAUCCCACCUUGGGAGGGGCCUGCAUCCUAUUAGCUUGUUGGCGGGGUAACGGCCCACCAAGGCGACGAUGGGUAGCGGGUGUGAGAGCACGACCCGCGUCAUUGGGACUGAGACACUGCCCAGACACCUACGGGUGGCUGCAGUCGAGGAUCUUCGGCAAUGGGCGCAAGCCUGACCGAGCGACGCCGCGUGCGGGAUGAAGGCCUUCGGGUUGUAAACCGCUGUCGUAGAGGAGGAAAUGCAGGGGGGUUCUCCCUUCUGUUUGACCUAUUCUAGGAGGAAGGACGGGCUAAGUUCGUGCCAGCAGCCGCCGUAA